CCUUUGAUCUCUCAUGAAUUUCUUCCUUUGUAGACUGUAUGUGCCUCUUAUAUGAAUUAUAUACAAAAAAAAAAAAAAAACUACCCAUCAUGGACAAAGGACCUGAGUUUAGAAUGAAAGCGAAGACGACAGAAAGGAAAGAAGAACCUAGCCCAUAAUCAGUAGAGCUCUAUUUUUGUCUAGCUCCUUUACCAAAGGAGUCACAGGAGGUUAAAAUGCUAGCAUGGUGAUGACCCAGCCUCAAUCCUGAUUGACUACAACACCCUUGAGAAGACACAAUAAUGAAACAGAAGGAACCUUAAUUUCUACUCUAGACAGGAAAGAAGAAAGAGAACACACCUUCAUCGCUCCUAUUUUUUCUUCAACCACAGUAGCUAAUAUAUUCACUGAUACAUCAAAAGAAAAACUCCAACCAUCCUGUUUUCUUUCACUCAAGCAAAAUCAACUUUCCUCAUUUCCCAACAAAUAUUUCAUCAGGAUGCUAUCAUAUUGUGUAUAUUAAAAUAGUUCUCCAUUAGUUUUCUAGUUUCUUCCCCUUUUAUAUUAUAUUUGAGGCUACAUUCUUAUUUGGGAAAUUCUGCCUUCAGUAUAAUGCCUGGAAAAGUGGUG
rnacentral:lncRNA from 1 species